CUCCGCCAUCUUCGCCCGCGGCAGCGUGACGCUGGGCGCCGCGGCGGCAGCUGCGGGCGUCGCCGCCGUCUGCCCGCUCUCACCGCCACAGAGGGCGAGAGCCGCCACACAGGGCCCUGACGCAGUGUAGGUGAAGCCGACAGCCAGCCAGUUGCUGCUGGUGCUGCCGCCCGUGGCUCCCACACCGCUCGCUGGCCACGUAUCACAGCAGAUCAUACAGGGGACCGGCUGGUGUCAGCUGUCUGUCACAAGCGGGAUGCAUCCUUCGGGCUCUAACUGAAAUGAAGACUCCAGAGUUCUUCCGUGACGUGUACGACAUUUCAAGUGAAGCUACAAAAAAUUACUGGACGGCGACAUAUCACACUCCUGCAGCAUAUAAAUUCUCAAGACAAAAUCCUUAAACACUGGAAAUACAAGAACUGUUUACUACGUACGCAGAUUAGCUGUGCCUAUCGUAGCGGAGUAUAUUCUACGUAUCUGCCUUAGGAUGUACUAAUCUCGUAAGUCAAAGGCAUUACAUUCGGAACCUGCAGAAGAUCAAUAAAUUGUUGAAUUUUUCUCCGUCGUCAGUGGACAUUUGUUGAUGGUUGCAUCAUUAGGGAAUGCUUAUUUUUAUACAGUUUGGUAAUCCGCAGAGCCAUCAGCGUUCCGUAACUCAUCAAGAUACACAAUCGUUGUUGAAUCCAUUGGCCUACAAAUGAAUUUUGUGCUGAUGAAAAUGAGAAGUGUAAAAGAAACGAAGCAUUCCGUAAAAGUUCAAACAUGGGAACCUUAACAAACAGCGACACUUAAAUUUUACAAACUUGCUAUAAGAGACGCUGUGUCUACUUUUCAGCUCUUUUACUUUGUAUCUGACUUAUAUGCGCUGAUUUUAGAGUAUCUGAUGCUAGUGAAAAGCACUGGUCUGUUGUUUGUAAGAUGUCAGUGUAUUUUCAAUAAAAUACAGUU